ensembl:lncRNA
UGUGUGUGUAUGCCACUACCCCCUGUCCCCCACCCCAACACACAUACACACCACCUGAACAGGUCAAGGCCUUCUGUUUGUUAUCAGACUUGUUUUUGCAUCCUGGCUGAACCUUCUGGUGUGUGAGGAAAAAACUGCAGUGGGGAUCAUAUAUCUACCUCUGCAGGGCUGCCGGGGGCAUAACCUAACAAAUGUGUGGGGUCAACUGAGUGAGUUCCUGAAGAGAGGAAAGCCCCUGCAAGAUGUAACAACCUCCCCCACCAGUCGAAGAGCCCCCCAGGUGGCUCGAUGCACCGGCGGCACUCUGCGCCAGGGCUGGGCCCCCAUACACCCACCCGCCCACAACCCCAGCAACACACCAACCAGGACCCAAGCCCCCGAGGCCCAGCCAGGGCCCCAGCCCGGAGACGGAGCACCCCUACAACCCCACGUCCGUCCCGGACCCCCCCCCCAGGGCAG